rnacentral:piRNA from 1 species
UCCCUAUCAUAGGCCACACUGGGUGCCAGGC